UCCUGGCGUGAGGCGUGCCUCUGAGCCUCUUCCAAUUGUGGCGCUUCAACACACACGGGGAGCUCCCUACCUCCCGAUUCAACCCGUGGGGCCUGCAGCAAUGGAGACUGACGAACAGUCACUGCCUUUGCUGUUUUGUCAGCGAACCUAUUCCCCUUAGAAACUUCAUCCCCUGCAGAGGACAAGAGAACAAAGAACAGUAAAGAGCCAGCAGACAUGGAUUCAGCUGGGGCUGCCCUGAUCUCAAUGCAGGAGGAAGAUCUGAAGAUCAGCAAGAAGACGGAAGUACAUACCUUUGCUGAGAUGCGCCCCUAAGGGCUAUGGACAGCAUAAACUAUCACACUACCACUAAGCACUGAGUUCCCACUCAUGUUGAACCUAUGUCAUUAAAGGCAACUAGGGAUGAACAGCA